AGAUUGAACGCUGGCGGCAUGCUUUACACAUGCAAGUCGAACGGCAGCACGGGGGCAACCCUGGUGGCGAGUGGCGAACGGGUGAGUAAUGCAUCGGAACGUAUCCUUGAGUGGGGGAUAACGCAGCGAAAGUUGUGCUAAUACCGCAUACGACCGAGAGGUGAAAGCGGGGGACCGAAAGGCCUCGCGCAGCAGGAUGAGCCGAUGUCCGAUUAGCUGGUUGGUGGGGUAACGGCCCACCAAGGCGACGAUCGGUAGCUGGUCUGAGAGGAUGAUCAGCCACACUGGGACUGAGACACGGCCCAGACUCCUACGGGAGGCAGC
rnacentral:rRNA from 1 species